UCUUCUCAAUGCUGUGGAACGCUCUGUUCACUUGCAUGGGCCAUUCCGACUUCCGGUGGUGAAUUAUCUUUUACUUCAGGGCUUAAAGUAUUUUUUAAAGUUGUUAAAUAAACUAACAUCAUUACACGGUUACAUAAAAUAACCUAAUCAGCAAAGACAAUGGUUUUAUAGCCAUAAUUUAAACGGCAUGCUGGUUUCAGCGUCCAUAGCAACAAUCUACGGAGCCCCUCUGGUGACAUCUGGGAAAAUAAAUAAAUCUGUUUGCCCGAUUUAGUGACCCGUUUUCCCUACUUAAUCAUCUGUUUUCCUGAUUUAGUGAUCUGUUUGCAUGUCUUACUAAUCUGUGGCCACAAUUUAAUAAAUUGCGGGAACAAGAUAAUUAAUUUGUGGCCACAAUUUAAUAAUUUGUGGGAACAAGAUAAUUCUUUUGUAGCUGUUAAAGUAUUUCGGCAUGGUAACUAUGAAGUAAAAGGGGGGAAUUGUAUCCAACACGCGUGGAGGAAAAUACCACAGAGCUAUCUCCCGGCUCUCAACGGGGCUGCCAUAUGUUUCUGACCUCAAAUCUGACUCCCGCGCUGGAUUGUAUCAAGUAGGCGUGGCCUAUGUGACGUAGGCGUGGCAUGUGUGACGCAUUGGCUCCGCCCUCCGCACCUGUCUAAAGGUGCUGCCAUCUGUGGCUGUAGUAGUAGUUAUUGCAGCUUGUGUGUUCAAUCUUGCUUCCUAGUGGCUAUGUAGGGGUAAUGCAGCUUGUGUGUUCGAUCCUGCUUCCUAGUGGCUAUGUGGGGGCAGCUUAUGUGCUUAAAAUACAUAACAGAAACCAUAUGAGAGAAGAAAUUACUAUAUACGCCAAAAAAUGAGACAGAUGGCCAGACUAUUGAUAAUGGCAAAAGCUAUAACAACUUUGAAGAGCACCGAAGACCUUGUUAUGCCCUGUAACUUUCCGCAUGUGAUACAGGCAGUUAGAUCUGUUGCUGGUUAUGAUGUCGAAAGCAACUCGUAUAAAAUCCCAUCAUUGGCUUUGAAAUUGGGACACAGUUUAGCCAAAGUUGCAGGCAUUGUGCAAUGCAUUGCCAUCAUUGCAAAUCGCCCUGCCGUUGCAGAGUCUGCAAAGCAAUUUGCCACUCUACAUCAGAAAAAGAGGACAAAGUCCAUUUCUGCUGCCCCAUUCCGAAACCUUCAACAAGCCAAACGGAAUAAACCAGAGGUUUUACCCUUUACAGAGGAUGUGUCGGUGCUGCACAAGUUUCUUGCGACUGAGCGUGUUAAGCGUAUGAAGGACCUUGAGGAAGAACCCAACAGCAAAAGCUUUGGAAAUCUUGCUAAAGUGACUUUGACGCAGGUAGUACUAUUUAACAGAAGGCGGGAAGGUGAAGUUUAAAAAAUGGAGCUUCAGACUUUCACAUCCAGGUAUCUUACAGAGCUGAAUCCAGACAUUGUGAGGGGCCUUACUGACUUUGAGAGGAAGCUUGCAAAGCACUUUGAGAGAGUUGAGAUUUGAGGUAAAAGGUCAAGAAAGGUUCCAGUGCUUCUAACCACUGACAUGAUCGCUGCUAUGGACCUCCUCAUGAAAAGCAGGAAAGAGUCAAGUCCACAAAGAAGAUGUGUUCAUGUUUGCACAGCCAGGUGUCCUUUCCCAUUACAGAGGCUUUGACUGCUUUCGUAAGUAUGCAAAGCAAUGUGGUGCAAAUAACCCAGAGGCACUCACCUCAACAAGAUUGUGGAAACAAGUGGCCACUUUGUCCAAACUACUAAAUCUGAAAGAAAAAGAAAUGGAUCAACUUGCCACCUUUCUAGGACAUAACAUCCGUGUCCAUAGAGAAUUCUAUCGGCUUCCAGAGAGUACCCUUCAGCUUGCAAAAGUCAGCAAACUCUUGAUAUCAAUCGAAAAAGGUAGACUGCCUUACCUGCUGGGGAAAGGGCUUGAUGACAUUGAGAUGAAGUAGAAAUGAGUGAUGAUUCCAGCGAAGAAAACGUUGCUGACCUACAUCAAUGCAAAGUGAAUAAUACAAGCAAGCAAACGUAUCUUCAGAAAGCUCAUAGAACAACAUCACAAUCAUUAUUACUUUGCAAAGGCUCAAGAACUGAGACUGCUAGGGACCAGACACUUCUGAGGCACACUCCUGAAUCAACCACCCUGGACAACAUGGAGGGCACUUCCGAGUCAACCACCCUGGACAACAUGGAGGGCACUUCCAAGUCAACCACCCUGGACAACAUGGAGGGCACACCUGAGUCAACCACCUUGGAUAACGUAAACAUGAGCAACACACAACCAAGACAUGGUAAAAUAGUCACAUCCCAAGCUUCUUCAAAGUGCUCCAAAAGAAAGCAAGGAAAGCUGUGAAGGUGAGAAGCAAGUGGACAGGUGAGGAAGUGAAAGCUGUUGAGCGGCAUUUGCUUAACUUCAUGACAAGCUGCAGAAUACCUGGUAAGAAGGACUGUGACUCCUGCCUCCAGGCAGAGCCAGUAGCUCUGAAAGACAGAGACUGGGUUGCCAUCAAGUACUACGUACACAACAGAAACGUAAUAGUCACUCUCCCGUCAUUUCUAAGGCUCCUUGGUCUUGUCUAUCUCCUGCACCUCUGUUGGGUUCAUCCAGAAGUAUGACAUCUGAGUCCUGUAGGAAGUUUAGGUCAAACGUGUUGACUUCUGGUUCUGUUUCUGGGACUGAAUAUAUAUUGUGUCCAGCAUUUCCUGUGACCUCUGAUGUUGUUGCUUCUUCAUCUUUGCUAUGAUCAUGAUUCUUAGUGUACAGAUACAGUCUCAAGAGCUUGACUUUGUUUUUCUCACACAAGUCAUCCACGGUGCAAUUUUGAUUUACUUCGCCUUGUGAGAAAUCAAGAAUGCUGCGAUGAUCACUUUCCAGCAUUAGUGACUUGCAGAAAUCGUUUGGAAAGAAAAGGGAUUCUGCCAAUAGUUGAAUUUCGCUGACUUUAGUGUAUCCGUCUACACUGACAUGUCUGGUUCCACCUCCCUUCACAGCCCUCACUUGUUUGAAUUCAUUUUCGAUUUUGUUGAAGUUCAUCCAUCCAAUUUCAACCCUCUUUAAUGGUCUUUUUGCAUUUUUAGAUCCCUGCAUUUUCUCAGAAGUCCCCAUAAUUUUGACUCCCCUGCUAUCCGUGGCAGAAGACUUUGCCCUUUCUCUGGUGACUGUUGCGACAGAAGGCAACAGUUGCCAAUCUGUCCCCAUAUUGUGGAAUGUAUUUUGCGAGAUCCUCUUCACUCAUCAGUGGAAUAACUGAAAAAUCAAUCUGCAAAAUAUGAAUGAAGACAAAAAUAUAUUUAAGUACAAUUAUUGUGUGUGACAGACACAU